AUUGAACGCUGGCGGAAUGCUUUACACAUGCAAGUCGAACGGUAGAGGGGGCAACCCCUUGAGAGUGGCGAACGGGUGAGUAAUAUAUCGGAACGUGCCCAGUCGUGGGGAUAACGUAGCGGAAGUUACGCUAAUACCGCAUACGAUCUAAGGAUGAAAGCGGGGGAUCGCAAGACCUCGCGCGAUUGGAGCGGCCGAUAUCAGAUUAGGUAGUUGGUGAGGUAAAGGCUCACCAAGCCAACGAUCUGUAGGGGUCCUGAGAGGGAGAUCCCCCACACUGGUCGUCCUCU
rnacentral:rRNA from 1 species